rnacentral:rRNA from 1 species
CCUACGGUAGGCUGCAGUGGGGAAUAUUGCACAAUGGGCGGAAGCCUGAUGCAGCAACGCCGCGUGCGGGAUGACGGCCUUCGGGUUGUAAACCGCUUUCGCCUGUGACGCAGCGUGAGUGACGGUCAUGGGUAAAGAAGCACCGGCUAACUACGUGCCAGCAGCCGCGGUGAUACGUAGGGUGGGAGCGUUGCCCGGAUUGAUUGGGCGUAAAGGGCUCGUAGGUGGUUGAUCGCGUCGGAAGUGUAAUCUUGGGGCUUAACCCUGAGCGUGCUUUCGGUACGGGUUGACUUGAGGAAGGUAGGGGAGAAUGGAAUUCCUGGUGGAGCGGUGGAAUGCGCAGAUAUCAGGAGGAACACCAGUGGCGAAGGCGGUUCUCUGGGCCUUUCCUGACGCUGAGGAGCGAAAGCGUGGGGAGCGAACAGGAUUAGAUACCCGAGUAGUC